rnacentral:lncRNA from 1 species
UGAUAGCAAGAGAAGAUCUGAUUCUGUCAACAUCGGUGAUAGCAGGACAUCGAUGGCAGAAUCUGCAAAAUAAAUCUCUAGCCGAAGUUGGCUCUAGCAGAGACCCUCCAACACUCAAGUCAGAAGUCUGGAACAAAUGGAAAGAAGUGCACAUUUUGAAAAAAAAGUGAUUGCAUACCUUAGGGGUUCCUUGUGGGCCUCUAUUUAUAGGUAGAGGCUAAGAAGCCAUAAGAAAGAAGGAGAAUUAGAUGAUUAGCCUGGUCUUAUUAGGUGAGAUAUGCUUGUUAUCUC